rnacentral:rRNA from 1 species
CCUACGGGAGGCAGCAGUGGGGAAUAUUGCGCAAUGGGCGAAAGCCUGACGCAGCGACGCCGCGUGAGGGAUGAAGGUCUUCGGAUCGUAAACCUCUGUCAGCAGGGAAGAACGGUCACUGUGCUAAUCAGCAGUGAAUUGACGGUACCUGCAAAGGAAGCACCGGCUAACUCCGUGCCAGCAGCCGCGGUAAUACGGAGGGUGCGAGCGUUAAUCGGAAUUACUGGGUGUAAAGGGCGUGCAGCCGGGCUGACAAGUCAGAUGUGAAAUCCCGCGGCUCAACCGCGGAACUGCAUUUGAAACUG